rnacentral:rRNA from 1 species
AACGCGAAGAACCUUACCUAGAUUUGACAUGCAGGGAAAAGCCGUAGAGAUACGGUGUCCUUAGGGGCCUUGCACAGGUGGUGCAUGGCUGUCGUCAGCUCGUGUCGUGAGAUGUUGGGUUAAGUCCCGCAACGAGCGCAACCCUCGUCCUAUGUUGCCAGCGGGUAAUGCCGGGGACUCGUAGGAGACUGCCGGGGUCAACUCGGAGGAAGGUGGGGACGAUGUCAAGUCAUCAUGCCCCUUACGUCUAGGGCUGCACACAUGCUACAAUGGCCGGUACAGAGGGCUGCUAAAGCGCGAGCUGGAGCCAAUCCCUAAAGCCGGUCUCAGUUCAGAUUGCAGGCUGCAACUCGCCUGCAUGAAGUUGGAGUCGCUAGUAAUCCCGGAUCAGCACUGCCGGGGUGAAUACGUUCCCGGGCCUUGUACACACCGAGUAUA